rnacentral:rRNA from 1 species
AUACGGAAGGUCCGGGCGUUAUCCGGAUUUAUUGGGUUUAAAGGGAGCGCAGGCGGAGAUGCAAGCGUGACGUCAAAUUUCGGGGCUCAACCCCGUCUCGCGUCGCGAACUGCGUCCCUUGGUUGCGGGAAGGGGAGGCGGAACUCGUGGUGUAGCGGGGAAAUGCAUAGAUAUCACGAAGAACUCCGAUCGCGAAGGCAGCCUUCCGGCCCGUCAACGACGCUCAUGCUCGAAGGUGCGGGUAUCAAACAGGAUUAGAUACCCUGGUAGUCCGCACAGUAAACGAUGGACACCCGCGGUUUGGCCUAUAUGGCUGAGCCGCCAAGCGAAAGCGUUAAGUGUCCCACCUGGGGAGUACGCCGGCAACGGUGAAACUCAAAUGAAUCGACGGGG